UAAUUUACUUAUCUGCUGUAUUCAAUUUUGCAAACUAUAAAAACAAUAUGGAUCUUUUAUAUGACAAUGAACUUCUAGUUUUUUAUAAUCAAAAACACCUUUCUUUAGCGUACAAAUGAUUAAGGUUUCAUUAAUGGGAAAUUGCCAACAAGUUUUACACUGGACUUUGUAAAGUUGAGCAAAAAAUCCUAUGUGUAGUAAAGCGUAAGAUGAACACUGAAGUAAUGAAAUAGUGUUGUAUUUAUCAAAAAUCCAUUAAUAACUUAAAG